GAGGGUACAGCUCAGUGGUAGAGCGUGUGCUUAGCAUGCACAAGGUCCUGGGUUCAAUCUGAAGUACCUCCA
rfam:Camelus ferus unplaced genomic scaffold scaffold2095, whole genome shotgun sequence.